rnacentral:rRNA from 1 species
UACGUAGGGUGCGAGCGUUGUCCGGAAUUACUGGGCGUAAAGAGCUCGUAGGUGGUUUGUCGCGUUGUUCGUGAAAACUCACAGCUCAACUGUGGGCGUGCGGGCGAUACGGGCAGACUGGAGUACUGCAGGGGAGACUGGAAUUCCUGGUGUAGCGGUGGAAUGCGCAGAUAUCAGGAGGAACACCGGUGGCGAAGGCGGGUCUCUGGACAGUUCCUGACACUGAGGCACGGAAGGCCAGGGGAGCAAACGGG